ensembl:lncRNA
GGCAUCAGCAACUUUGCUGGGCAACCUGUUCUAGUGUCUCACCAACCUCAUAGUAAAUAAUUUCUUCCUCCUAUCUAGUUCAAAUCUACCCUCUUUCAAUUUAAAACCAUUUCCCCUCAUCCUGUUGCUACCUGCCCCUGUAAGAAGUCCCUCCUCAGCUUUCCUGUAGGCCCCCUUCAGGUACUGAUAGGCCAUUAUAAGGUCUCCUUGGAGCCUUCUCCAGGCUGCACAGCCCCAGCUCUCUCAGUCUGUUUUCGUAGGAAAGGUUCCAUCCCUUGGAUCAUUUUUGCGACCCUCCUCUGGGCACGCUCCAACAGGUCCAUGUUUCUCCUGUACCGAGGACUCCACAUGUGGACGAAGUACUCCAGAUGAGGCCUCAACAACACAGAGCAGAGGGGCAGGAUCAUCUCUCCCGCCCUGUUAGCCCCCCUCCUUUUGAUGCAGUUCAGGAUACGGUUGGCUUUCAGGGUCAUGAGGGCACAGUGCUGGCCCAUGUCCAGCUUCCCAUCCACCAGUACCCCCGGCUUCUUUUUGGCAGGACCAAGCUCUAGCCUUUCAUGCUCUGGCUUAUGUUAGUAGUGGAGGUUGCCUUGACCCAGGUGCAACGUGGAUUUGUUGAACAUCAUGAACUUCCCCUGGCCCUGCUACUCAAGCCCGUCUAGGUUCCUCUGCAUGGCACCCUGUCCCUCAUGCAUGUCGAGCACACCCCACAGCUUGGUGUCAUCAGCAGACUUGCUGAGGGUGCACUUGACCCCACUGACAAUGUCACUGAUGAACAUACUAAAGAGUAUUGAAGCCAGCACCCCAGGAGGAUACCUCUCAUCGCUGACCUCCAUCCAGACACGGAGCCAUUGACCACCACUCUCUGGAUUAGAUCCUGCAGCCAGGUCAUUGUCCAUCAAACAGUCUACCCUUCAAAUCGAUCUCUUUCCAAUUUGGAGGGAAGGAUGUUGUGGGCUGCUGUGUCAAAGGCCUUACUGAAGUCCAGACAGAUGACAUCAGUGGCUCUUCCCUUGUCCAUUGCUGCAGUGAUGCCAUUGUGGAAGGCUGCUAGGUAGGUCAAACAGGAUUUGCCCCUGGUGAAGCCAUGCUGGUUCUCCCAUAUCACCUCCCUGUCUUCUGUGUGCCUUAGCAUCACUUCCAGGAGGAUCUGCUCCACAAUCUUUCCCAGUACAGAGGUGAAACUGACAGGUCCAUGUCUCUUCUGCACUGAGGACUCUACAUCUGGAUGCAGUACUCCAGGUGAGGCCUCUUCAGUACAGAGCAGAGGGGCAGGAUCACUUCCCUUCACUGCUGACCACUCUUCUUUUGAUGCGUCCCAGGAUAUGGUUGGUUUUCUGGGCUGGGAGGGCACACUGCUGGCUCAUGUCCAGCUUGCCAUCUACCAGUACCUCCAGGUCUUUUGGGACAUGCUUAUGCUCAGUCCUUUCAUCCCCCAGCAUGUAUUGGUAGUGGGGGGUCCUCUUGUCCCAUGUGCAAGACCCUGCACCUGGAUUUGUUGAACCUGAUGAGGUUUCAAAUCCGUUCACCUGUGCCUGCUGCUCGAGCCUGUUCAGGUCCCUCUGGUUGGUGUCCUGUCCCUUUGGUGUGUCACUGCACCCCACAGCUUGGUGUCGUCAGCAAAUUUUCUGAGGGCGCACUCGACCCCGCUGAUGAUGUCGCUGAUGAAGAUAUUGAAGAGUGUCAGCCUCAGCAUAGACCCCUGUGGGACAACACUCAUCACCAAUCGCCAUCUAGACAUGGAGCCAUUGAUCGCUGCUCUCUGGACUCAGUCCUGCAGCCGAUCUUUGUCCAUUCAACAGUCCACCCACCGAAUCCGUAUCUUUCCCAGCUUCCCAAAACAGCUUCCUAAAACUCAAUCCAAUCAAAAUUCUGUGCUGUCUAGUAACAAGGACUUCCAUCAGACUGAGAGCUCAGGCUUUACAGGCCAGUGGUGGAGCCAAGAGGGAGGCCUCUGGAUUUUCAGAAAGGACCGAGAAGGCUGAGAAUCAGGUGCUUUGUUUCACUCUUUUACUGGCUGUCUUACUUAAGGAUUCUGUCAGUCCAUAGGCACAUUUGGUUGGUUUGGCUGGAGCUUUGGAGCUUGGUGCUUAUGACUUCAGUUCUUUAUGACACGGAGCUGUGCCACUUGCUGCCUAGACCAAAUAUAUGUAUUGUUGUAGGAGAUCACUCUGUGCACUGUACUUUUUUAAAAUGCUUUGAAAUUGUGAAUGUGGUAUCUGCCUUCAAACAGGGAACAUAUAAAAGAAAUUUAUUUAUUUAUUUACUUAUUUCGUUUUCUUGGAGCAAUUGUUCAGGGAAAUGUGAAUUCUUUCUUCUCUGCUGCAUGUUUCCCAUAGCAGUAUUCUAAGAAUGGUUUCUGUCAUUGAUUGCUUACUUGCUUAUUUACAGUACUGUACGAAACAUGCUGUUCUUUUUCUUCUGUCUACAUAGAACUCCCUUUGUUUCCUUUGUAGUUUUGAGUUGUGCUGUGGAACAGAAUGUACAGCUGGAUCUAGAACAGUUGCCAAAGAGGUGUCCAUGGGCAAACGGUGCUGGAUUUCCCAGGUGGAGAUCAUGAAGUUCCUUGCCUCCUUGCAAAGUGUUCUCAUAUUAUUCUUAUAUAGCGUUGUAUGUUACUGCUGUACUAAGAUCUUUACUACAAAUCCAUUAUCUGUUUCCCAAAGGUAAUGGUGAUGCUGAGAAGCAUGCCUCAUGAUGACUUACACAUCCCUCAUGCUUCAUAUUAAUUCUUCCUUUGGGUCAAAAGUAGACUGAAAUUCUUGAAACCUUGCCUGGGAAUCCUGCUGUUGCUAAAAUGGUUCAGCCGUGGUGCCUGUGGUCAGAAUACCUUGUGGCAGACCCUGGCACUGGCUGUGAAUGAAAGAACUGAUGACAAAUUGCUCAAUAUCGAAAGCGAGCCAGUGCAUAUUUACAAGCCUUGGGUGAGCCAGAUGGAAUCUAAGAGGGGGAGGCCAGGUAGGGAAGCUGUUACUAUGAUGUUUCUUAGAAGACUUGCAAGGCUGUUUUGCAUUGCUCUGUUAAUUGUUCCAAGGCACCCUUGGCUUCACUGUGUGCAAUUCAUACCAUGUUUUUUCAUCACCUCAGAUGCUGGCUGAAAUAUGUAUAUACAUGUGUAUAUAUAAAUGUAUACACAUACACAUAUUUAAAAAAAAAAAGGCAUGACAACAA